GACGAAGGGGGCUAGCGUUGCUCGGAAUCACUGGGCGUAAAGCGCACGUAGGCGGGUUCUUAAGUCGGUGGUGAAAUCCUGGAGCUCAACUCCAGAACUGCCUCCGAUACUGAGAGCCUCGAGUCCGGGAGAGGUGAGUGGAACUGCGAGUGUAGAGGUGAAAUUCGUAGAUAUUCGCAAGAACACUAGUGGCGAAGGCGGCUCACUGGCCCGGUACUGACGCUGAGGUGCGAAAGCGUGGGGAGCAAACAGG
rnacentral:rRNA from 1 species